rnacentral:rRNA from 1 species
UUCCGGUUGAUCCUGCCGGACCCUACUGCUAUCGGGGUGGGACUAAGACAUGCGAGUCUUGCGUCUCUAGGCCAUGGUGGAGACGCGGCAUACGGCUCAGUAACACGUGGCUAACCUACCCUUAGGACGGGGACAACCCCGGGAAACUGGGGACUAUCCCCGAUGGGUGAGGAGGCCUGGAAUGGUUCCUCGCCGAAAAGGCGUUGAGACCAUGCCUUUUAACGUCGCCUAAGGAUGGGGCCGCGGCCGAUCAGGUUGUUGGUGAGGCAACGGCUCACCAAGCCUAUAACCGGUACGGGCCGUGAGAGCGGGAGCCCGGAGAUGGGCACUUAGAUAAGGGCCCAGGCCCUACGGGGCGCAGCAGUCGCGAAAACUCCGCAAUGCGCGAAAGCGUGACGGGGCUACCCCGAGUGCCGUCCGCUGAGGAUGGCUUUUCCCCGGUGUAAUGAGCCGGGGGAAUAAGGAGAGGGCAAGUCUGGUGUCAGCCGCCGCGGUAAUACCAGCUCUCUGAGUGGUAGGGAUGAUUAUUGGGCUUAAAGCGUCCGUAGCCGGCCCGGUAAGUCUCCCGUUAAAUCCAGCGACUCAAUCGUUGGACUGCGGGAGAUACUGUUGGGCUAGGGGGUGGGAGAGGCCGACGGUAUUCCCGGGGUAGGGGUGAAAUCCUAUAAUCCCGGGAGGACCACCAGUGGCGUAGGCUGUCGGCUAGAACACGCUCGACGGUGAGGGACGAAAGCUGGGGGAGCAAAUCGGAUUAGAUACCCGAGUAGUCCCAGCCGUAAACGAUGCGGGCUAGGUGUUGGGGUGGCUACGGGCCACUCCAGUGCCGCAGGGAAGCCAUUAAGCCCGCCGCCUGGGGAGUACGGCCGCAAGGCUGAAACUUAAAGGAAUUGGCGGGGGAGCACCACAAGGCGUGAAGCUUGCGGUUCAAUUGGAGUCAACGCCGGA